AAAGAGGGACGUCUUAGUUAUUGGUUCGGGAGAGAGAAAGGGGAGGGGCAAGUUGGAGGCGCGCGGGUUUGCCGUGCCUACGCUCGCCGGAUUCGCCACCACCCCCUGGCUCCGAUUCCAUUCCAUUCUUCUCCGGCCCAUCCAAUCAUCCAAUCCAUCCAAUCUGAUAACAAUCCCACCGCCGAAUCCACACCCCCUUCCUCCCCGGCUUCGCCCUCGAGGGCGCCCCCUCUCGAUCCGGAAAUUCCACCGAGCUCCCUUCCAUCCUGCGCCGAAUUCGCCGGGGCCAUCAUUUCGGAUCCAAUCCAAUCCGGCUUCCGCCGCGCGAGCACCCGUUCCCCGAGGUGUCCAAAGCCGCGGGAAUCCGCCCAGCUCCGCGCGGGGGUUGAUGCCACCGGGCGAUGGAUCGCCGAACCUUCCGGAGUAACUCCUGCAACGCCGGCAAGAGCCAGGCCGCGCCGCCCUUCUCGGUCUCCAGGACCUCCUCGGCCCCGGCCGCGACGGGGGCGGGCUCCAAGGACGACGCCGGCGAGCGCAGGGCGCUGCUGCCGCCGCGCCGGCCCGAGGGCGGCACCGCGCGCAAGGGCCAGAAGAAGCCCAAGCGCCGCGUGCAGUGGAAGGACACGCACGGGAAGAAGCUCGUCGAGGUGCUCGAGUUCCAGCCUAGGUCCUCGGGCGGUAUCAGAUUUGUAUUACACUGAUAUCCGAUACCGCGUUAUUGGAUUACAAAGCAAGGAAAACAAACAAGAUUUAACGGGACCGGUUAGCGUCGCUAUCAGUGAUUCAAGUGACUCGGAUGAUGAAUAUUUGGAUACUUGCAUAUGUGCAAUCAUGUAAAUACCGUGGGGCUGAAUCUUGGGUGCAACUUGCGCAGGUGGAGAGUAUGAAUGUUUAGCAAGAGCUGUAUCUUAAUGUUAAGCAUUGGCCUAACAGUCUUGUAUAGAAAAAGGUUCACUCCCACAAGCUCAAAUUAUCUCUUAUAAUUCAAGUAGGGGCCGUCUGUCUGCCAUCUCUGGCUCUCCGCUGAUUGAGAAAGGACUGGCGACAAGGAGCACAUGCAAUGUGUUGAAUGUGCAAGCAGCAGGAAGUUAAGUUAGAAUUCAGAGAUAUUGCAGCAGUUAGAAAGGGGGAAAGGAUACCAAGAAAGGAAGGAAAGCCUUUCUUGGGUUUAUUUUUUUGGACCGCGGCGCUGCAGCAGCCUCGCUUUUCCUGACGAGCAAUGCUAUAUGUGAUGAGCGGAAUGCUCUUCUUGGAAUCAGAACAAUAGUAGUAUUUGUGUUAUUGCACGGCCGGAAUUGUAAUCGGUUUUUGUCAAUAGUGUGUGCCGUUUGGCAUGUUAACAAGCUGAUUUCCCUGUGACCACACACUAUAUUAUUCUUACAGUAACUAAUAUCCACCAUUGAAUGUUCCAAGUUCAAAGUGCA